UCAGGGGAUAGAGCGUCUGCCUCCGGAGCAGAAGGCCGCAGGUUCGAAUCCUGCCGGGGGCACUCUCAUCAUU
rnacentral:tRNA from 1 species